GACGAACGCUGGCGGCGUGCUUAACACAUGCAAGUCGAACGAAGUGGCGAACGGGUUAGUAAUGCCUAGGAAUCUCCCUGGUAGUGGGGGAUAACGUCCGGAAACGGGCUCUAAUACCGCAUACUAUCAGAUGAGCCUAGGUCGGAUUAGCUAGUUGGUGGGGUAAAGGACUACCAAGGCGACGAACCGUAACUGGUCUGAGAGGAUGAUCAGUCACACUGGAACUGAGACACGGUCCAGACUCCUACGGGAGGCAGCAGUGGGGAAUAUUGGGCAAUGGGCGAAAGCCUGAUCCAGCAAUGCCGCGUGUGUGAAGAAGGUCUUCGGAUUGUAAAGCACUGUAAGUUGGGAGGCGUUACCAGCAGAAUAAGCACCGGCUAACUUCGUGCCAGCAGCCGCGGUAAUUC
rnacentral:rRNA from 1 species